AUGAACGCUGGCGGCGUGCCUAAUCCAUGCAAGUCGAGCGAACAGACGAGGAGCUUGCUCCUCUGACGUUAGCGGCGGACGGGUGAGUAACACGUGGAUAACCUACCUAUAAGACUGGGAUAACUUCGGGAAACCGGAGCUAAUACCGGAUAAUAUAUUGAACCGCAUGGUUCAAUAGUGAAAGACGGUUUUGCUGUCACUUAUAGAUGGAUCCGCGCCGCAUUAGCUAGUUGGUAAGGUAAUGGCUUACCAAGGCGACGAUGCGUAGCCGACCUGAGAGGGUGAUCGGCCACACUGGAACUGAGACACGGUCCAGACUCCUACGGGAGGCAGCAGUAGGGAAUCUUCCGCAAUGGGCGAAAGCCUGACGGAGCAACGCCGCGUGAGUGAUGAAGGUCUUCGGAUCGUAAAACUCUGUUAUUAGGGAAGAACAAAUGUGUAAGUAACUAUGCACGUCUUGACGGUACCUAAUCAGAAAGCCACGGCUAACUACGUG
rnacentral:rRNA from 1 species